UAUCAAGAGCCCUCUUUUGUGAGCGUUCUUGUACCUGCUUGAGAUGAGGCCAGAACAAACAGAAAGCAUCUUAGAGGAGCUUACUAAAUAAGUCUGGGAUUGAGUGAACAGCAUAUUCAAGGGGUCAAAUUUAAUUCCUUCCUUCCUUUUGUAUUCAGAUUAGAGGCCAAGGUAGAUUUGUGGAAGCCAGAACUCCUCUGCUAAUGCUGCUUUUGCACUUAACCUGCAAUUUACUUGUCAGUACCAAAUACAUUAAAGGCCAGCUAAGCUCUUCAAACUUCCAAACAAUUUACUGCACCAUCAAAUGAGCUCUUUAGCAUCCAAGAGCACAACGGUCCGUUCAGGUCUAACAAAAACAUCUGCCACCUGAAGAAAUCCUCGUCAAAAAUGUCUGGUAAAACAAAUGUGUGUAUUUAAAAGAAUGACAUGUUUUAAGUCAAUCAAACACCUCAAAAAUAACAAUAAAAAGCCUUCCAAAGAGACUUCUUGCCAGUGAUGCAUUGGCUUGCCUAGGAAGGACUGUGUUUUCAGAGCCUCCUAAAUUCCUCAACUCAAGCGCCGAGUGGAGGUUUAUUAAGUGACCUGUCUGGAUGUAUAUCAGCCUUGUCCCUAGUGGGGGUCCUGUGUUAAAUUCCAUCAUUAAAACCUAUUACCAAGCUAUCAAAACGCGCCAUAAUUCCGUCUAAUGACCUCAUUUCCCUAAGCGUAACUCAGCGCGGGGCCUGCUGCUGCGGCGUGGCCUCUUGGUAGGCCGCAGCCCCUUAGCAGAGCAGGGGGUGGCUGGGAAGGAGGGAGAAAUCAAUGUCUGCAGAGAUGACAAGGCACACGGCCAGUGACUGGGGACCACGAAACUAUCCAAUAUCCCAUUUCCUAUCCAGUCUAUUAGCAGCUGAAGUCAGCCUGGGCUCCGGCUUUGAUUGAAGGCUGAGCUGAGACCAGAUAGAGGAGGAGAAGCCCAGGCAAUAUGGCCACCAGAAGUUAAAUGUUUGCAGUGGCUAAAAGAGAUGAGUGCUGGAGCAGAAUUUCAACAAAUUAUUUUAUUUGUAUUCAGGACCUUUAUGCGGGAUAUGUAGGUUUAUCAUCUUAUUUCAGCUAUGGUGCUGUACAGAAGCUUUUGAAGGUCUCAAGCAACCCUUGUGAGAUGUGGAUUAAAGGGGUGAGGACAGGAACACGUCCAGAUCUGAAGGUCUCCAAGGAGGGAGGCUCCACAACCUCUACAGGCAGCCUGCUCUAUCUGCCCCACUGCACACCGCCUGGCUCUUGCUGUCCCAACUGCUCGCGACCUACAGCACAGGAACAAUUUCACUGUGGCUUUCUGCCCAGUAAAUAAAAC
rnacentral:lncRNA from 1 species